UUCGGUCAAUAGUCUUGCGGUUCGCAACGCGAAUAAUAGGGAACGGGGUGAAAGGCCCCGGCAGCUCACUCUACUGUAAGAAGGACGAAAGGCAGCUGUCACUGGGAGAAUCCCGGGAAGACGCUGAGUAGGAGGAUUUCAAGCCAGGAGACCUGCCGCUGAGACAAGCAAAGAC
rnacentral:ncRNA from 18 species